CGUAUCACUUAAAACGAUUCAGAAGCUUACGAUUGACGGAGCGAAGCGACGUCAAAGCGUAUACAAAGUCGAGUCGGUUUAAGGAUACGUUCGUUGGGUAGGGGAGCGUUCUGUAAGCCUGCGAAGGUGGCCUGUGAGGGUUGCUGGAGGUAUCAGAAGUGCGAAUGCUGACAUAAGUAACGAUAAAGCGGGUGAAAAGCCCGCUCGCCGGAAGACCAAGGGUUCCUGUCCAACGUUAAUCGGGGCAGGGUGAGUCGACCCCUAAGGCGAGGCCGAAAGGCGUAGUCGAUGGGAAACGGGUUAAUAUUCCCGUACUUGGUGUUACUGCGAAGGGGGGACGGAGAAGGCUAUGUUGGCCGGGCGACGGUUGUCCCGGUUUAAGCGUGUAGGCUGACUUUCCAGGCAAAUCCGGAGAGUCAAGGCUGAGGCGUGACGACGAGGCACCACGGUGCUGAAGCAACAAAUGCCCUGCUUCCAGGAAAAGCCUCUAAGCAUCAGGUAACAUCAAAUCGUACCCCAAACCGACACAGGUGGUCAGGUAGAGAAUACCAAGGCGCUUGAGAGAACUCGGGUGAAGGAACUAGGCAAAAUGGUGCCGUAACUUCGGGAGAAGGCACGCUGACACGUAGGUGAAGUGGUUUACCCAUGGAGCUGAAGUCAGUCGAAGAUACCAGCUGGCUGCAACUGUUUAUUAAAAACACAGCACUGUGCAAACACGAAAGUGGACGUAUACGGUGUGACGCCUGCCCGGUGCCGGAAGGUUAAUUGAUGGGGUCAGCGCAAGCGAAGCUCCUGAUCGAAGCCCCGGUAAACGGCGGCCGUAACUAUAACGGUCCUAAGGUAGCGAAAUUCCUUGUCGGGUAAGUUCCGACCUGCACGAAUGGCGUAAUGAUGGCCAGGCUGUCUCCACCCGAGACUCAGUGAAAUUGAACUCGCUGUGAAGAUGCAGUGUACCCGCGGCAAGACGGAAAGACCCCGUGAACCUUUACUAUAGCUUGACACUGAACAUUGAGCCUUGAUGUGUAGGAUAGGUGGGAGGCUUUGAAGCGUG
rnacentral:rRNA from 1 species